GUGUCAGCAGCCGCGGUAAUACGUAGGUGGCAAGUGUUAUCCGGAAUUAUUGGGCGUAAAGCGCGCGUAGGCGGUUUUUUAAGUCUGAUGUGAAAGCCCACGGCUCAACCGUGGAGGGUCAUUGGAAACUGGAAAACUUGAGUGCAGAAGAGGAAAGUGGAAUUCCAUGUGUAGCGGUGAAAUGCGCAGAGAUAUGGAGGAACACCAGUGGCGAAGGCGACUUUCUGGUCUGUAACUGACGCUGAUGUGCGAAAGCGUGGGGAUCAAACAGGAUUAGAUACCCUGGUAGUCC
rnacentral:rRNA from 1 species